GCUUGACGCUAGCAGCCUAGCAGGCUACUUCACAGCAUAGCUAACAACUGCUCUAUCUGCUACUGCUGUCCUGCUCCCACUCGUCCAUAACUAUAAACAAAUCCUCUGAAGUCAUGGAGUCUGUGGACAGUGAUGGAGUGUCAGCUUCACCCGCCAAAACCUACACCGUGUGGAUUAUUGGUGACAGCUGUGUCCGUCGAGGUGCCCAGAGAGCUGCAGAGACUGAGGGAAGGAACCUGGGCCUGAAGAACGUCCACAUGAGUUGGUUCGGCUGGGGUGGACUUCGCUGGAAAGGCCUCCUUCCCUU